rnacentral:rRNA from 1 species
GCUUGUCUCAAAGAUUAAGCCAUGCAUGUCUAAGUAUAAGCAACUAUACCGCGAAACUGCGAAUGGCUCAUUAUAUAAGUUAUCGUUCAUUUGAUAGCACCUUACUACUUGGAUAACCGUGGUAAUUCUAGAGCUAAUACAUGCUAAAAACCCCGACGUGAGGAGGGGUGUAUUUAUUAGAUUAAAAGCCAAUGCCCUCUGGGCUCUCUGGUGAUUCAUGAUAACUUCGCGGAUCGCACGGCCUUGCGCCGGCGAUGGUUCAUACAAAUUUCUUCCCUAUCAACUUUCGAUGUUUGGGUCGUGGCCAAACAUGGUUGCAACGGGUAACGGAGGGUUAGGGCUCGACCCCGGAGAAGGAGCCUGAGAGACGGCUACUACAUCCAAGGAAGGCAGCAGGCGCGCAAAUUACCCAAUCCCGACACGGGGAGGUAGUGACAAUAAAUACUGAUACAGGGCUCUUUUGGGUCUUGUAAUUGGAAUGAGUACAUCCUAAAUCCCUUAACGAGGAACAAUUGGAGGGCAAGUCUGGUGCCAGCAGCCGCGGUAAUUCCAGCUCCAAUAGCGUAUAUUAAAGUUGUUGUGGUUAAAAAGCUCGUAGUUGAACCUUGGGCCUGGCUGGCCGGUCCGCCUCACCGCGUGCACUGGUCCGGCCGGGUCUUUCCCUCUGCGGAACCCCAUGCCCUUCGCUGGGCGUGGCGGGGAAACAGGACUUUUACUUUGAAAAAAUUAGAGUGCUCCAGGCAGGCCUAUGCUCGAAUACAUUAGCAUGGAAUAAUGAAAUAGGACGCGCGGUUCUAUUUUGUUGGUUUCUAGGACCGCCGUAAUGAUUAAUAGGGACAGUCGGGGGCGUCAGUAUUCAAUUGUCAGAGGUGAAAUUCUUGGAUUUAUUGAAGACUAACUACUGCGAAAGCAUUUGCCAAGGAUGUUUUCAUUAAUCAGGAACGAAAGUUAGGGGAUCGAAGACGAUCAGAUACCGUCGUAGUCUUAACCAUAAACUAUGCCGACUAGGGAUCGGACGAUGUUAUUUUAUGACUCGUUCGGCACCUUACGAGAAAUCAAAGUGCUUGGGCUCCAGGGGGAG